UACGUAGGGUGCAAGCGUUUGUCCGGAAUUAUUAGGCGUAAAGAGCUCGUAGGCGGUCUGUCGCGUCUGCUGUGAAACUCAGGGCUUAACCCUGAGCUUGCAGUGGGUACGGGCAGACUAGAGUGUUGCAGGGGAGACUGGAAUUCCUGGUGUAGCGGUGAAAUGCGCAGAUAUCAGGAGGAACACCGGUGGCGAAGGCGGGUCUCUGGGCAACAACUGACGUGGAGGAGCGAAA
rnacentral:rRNA from 1 species